AUUGAACGCUGGCGGAAUGCUUUACACAUGCAAGUCGAACGGCAGCACGGACUUCGGUCUGGUGGCGAGUGGCGAACGGGUGAGUAAUGUAUCGGAACGUGCCCAGUCGUGGGGGAUAACGUAGUGAAAAUUACGCUAAUACCGCAUACGAUCUAUGGAUGAAAGCGGGGGAUCGCAAGACCUCGCGCGAUUGGAGCGGCCGAUAUCAGAUUAGGUAGUGGGUGGGGUAAAGGCCCACCAAGCCAACGAUCUGUAGCUGGUCUGAGAGGACGACCAGCCACACGGGAACUGAGACACGGUUCAGACUCCUACGGGAGGCAGCAGUGGGGAAUUUUGGACAAUGGGCGAAAGCCUGAUCCAGCCAUUCCGCGUGCAGGAUGAAGGCCCGCGGGUUGUAAACUGCUUUUUUACAGAACGAAAAGGUUUCUACUAAUACUAGGAGCUCAUGACGGUACUGUAAGAAUAAGCACCGGCUAACUACGUGCCAGCCGCCGCAGUAA
rnacentral:rRNA from 1 species